rnacentral:misc_RNA from 1 species
GCCUGCGUUUGGGGUUGUAUGAACAUUAGAAAUUCUUCGGCGGUGCACGAAACAAACCUCGCGUUUCAAGCAUCUAAUACUCACUGACUCAAUCGCGAUGAGACUAAUGUGAUUUACAAUAACCAUGCGGCUAAUCCAUUUGCAACUUCAGAAGAUCUUCUUGGUCUCAAACCCUUAGUUGAAGUUGGGGAGGAAACUUUGAAC